rnacentral:rRNA from 1 species
GAUCAUGGCUCAGGAUGAACGCUAGCUACAGGCUUAACACAUGCAAGUCGAGGGGAAACGACAUCGAAAGCUUGUCUUUGAUGGGCGUCGACCGGCGCACGGGUGAGUAACGCGUAUCCAACCUGCCCACACUUGGGGAUAACCUUGCGAAAGUAAGACUAAUACCCGAUGAUAUCUCUAGAAGGCAUCUGAAAGGGAUUAAAGAUUUAUCGGUGAUGGAUGGGGAUGCGUCUGAUUAGCUUGUUGGCGGGGUAACGGCCCACCAAGGCAACGAUCAGUAGGGGUUCUGAGAGGAAGGUCCCCCACAUUGGAACUGAGACACGGUCCAAACUCCUACGGGAGGCAGCAGUGAGGAAUAUUGGUCAAUGGGCGAGAGCCUGAACCAGCCAAGUAGCGUGCAGGAAGACGGCCCUAUGGGUUGUAAACUGCUUUUAUAAGGGAAUAAAGUUAGUCUCGUGAGACUUUUUGCAUGUACCUUAUGAAUAAGGACCGGCUAAUUCCGUG